rnacentral:rRNA from 1 species
UAAGAAGGGUGCAAGAGGUAAUCGGAAUUACUGGGCGUAAAGCGCGCGUAGGUGGUUCGUUAAGUUGGAUGUGAAAGCCCCGGGCUCAACCUGGGAACUGCAUCCAAAACUGGCGAGCUAGAGUAUGGCAGAGGGUGGUGGAAUUUCCUGUGUAGCGGUGAAAUGCGUAGAUAUAGGAAGGAACACCAGUUGCGAAGGCGACCAACUGGGCUAAUACUGACACUGAUGUGCGCCAGCGUGUGGAGCCAACAUGAGUAGAUACCCGCGUAGAC